CAGAUUUGGGGUGCAUUUUAUAUUUUUUUCUAUUUACGCAUUAAUUUUGACCCUUUUUUUUAAAUUCGAAAAAUCAUUUUUUACUGAUUGUUUUGCUAUUUUAAUCAUGCCAUGUGAUGUGUUAAUCAUAGUAGAACAUGUUAAUGUGCAUUUUACAGAUUUGGGGUGCCAUUUUAUAUAUUUUUAUAUUUUUUUCUAUUUACGCAUUAAUUUUAGCCUUUUUUUAAAAAAAUUCGAAAAAUCAUUUUUUAAUGAUUGUUUUGCUGUUUUAACCAUGCCAUAUGAUGUGUUAAUCAUAGUUGAACAUGUUAAUGUGCAUCUUACAGAUUUGGGGUAUCAUUUUAUAUUUUUUUCUAUUUACGCAUUAAUUUUGGCCAUUUUUUUUAAAAUUCGAAAAAUCAUUUUUUAAUGAUUGUUUUGCUGUUUUAAUCAUGCCAUGUGAUGUGUUAAUCAUAGUAGAACAUGUUAAUAUGCAUUUUACAGAUUUGGGGUGCCAUUUUAUAUAUAUUUUUUAUUUUUUUCUAUUUACGCAUUAAUUUUGGCCCUUUUUUUAAAAAUUCGAAAAUUCAUUUUUUAAUGAUUGUUUUGCUAUUUUAAUCAUUUGAACAUGUUAAUGUGCAUUUUAUAGAUUUGGGGUGCCAUUUUAUAUUUUUUUAAUAUUUUUUUCUAUUUACGCAUUAAUUUUGGCCCUUUUUUUU